rnacentral:rRNA from 1 species
GUGAGUAGUUCAGAGUUUGAUCCUGGCUCAGGAUGAACGCUGGCGGCGUGCUUAACACAUGCAAGUCGAACGAAGCAGCUGUGAUUGAGACUUCGGUGGAUUGAUCAGUUGACUUAGUGGCGGACGGGUGAGUAACGCGUGGGUAACCUGCCUUGUACAGGGGGAUAACAGUUAGAAAUGACUGCUAAUACCGCAUAACCCGCUAGAGUCGCAUGACUCAGACGGAAAAGAUUUAUCGGUACAAGAUGGACCCGCGUCUGAUUAGCUAGUUGGUGAGGUAACGGCUCACCAAGGCGACGAUCAGUAGCCGGCCUGAGAGGGUGAACGGCCACAUUGGGACUGAGACACGGCCCAA